rnacentral:rRNA from 1 species
CCUACGGGACGCAGCAGUGGGGGAUAUUGCACAAUGGGGGGAACCCUGAUGCAGCGACGCCGCGUGGGUGAAGAAGCGCCUAGGCGCGUAAAGCCCUGUCAGCAGGGAAGAAAAUGACGAUACGUGAAGACGAAGCCACGGCUAACUCCGUGCCAGCAGCCGCGGUAAUAUGAAGGGGGCAAGCGUUAUCCGGAGUUACUGGGAGUAAAGGGGGCGCAGACGGCGAUGCAAGCAAGGAGUGAAAGCGCCGGGCCUAACCCCGGGACUGCCCUUGGAACUGCGUGUCUAGAGUGUAGGAGGGGUAGGCGGAAUUCAUGGUGUAGCGGUGAAAUGCGUAGAUAUCAGGCAGAACACCGGUGGCGAAGGCGGCCUACUGGACUACAACUGACGUUGAGGCCCGAAAGCGUGGGGAGCAAACAGGAUUAGAUACCCCAGUAGUC